rnacentral:rRNA from 1 species
UACGUAGGGUGCAAGCGUUGUCCGGAAUUAUUGGCGUAAAGAGCUCGUAGGCGGUCUGUCGCGUCUGCUGUGAAACCGGGCUCAACUUCGGCUGCGUCGAUACGGCGGCUAGAGUUCGGUAGGGAGACUGGAAUUCCUGGUGUAGCGGUGAAUGCGCAGAUAUCAGAGGAACACCGGUGGCGAAGGCGGUCUCUGGCCGAAACUGACGCUGAGGAGCGAAAGCGUGGGGAGCGAACAGG